rnacentral:lncRNA from 1 species
CAUUUUCUGAAGAAAGUACACAAUUUAUCAUCUUGUUAUGUCUGUUCUGGAACGUUUGGUAUGACAACUCAUCCUGCAAUUUUCAUUGCAGGCCUAAGUUGAGUUUUUCGCUUGCUCAUGGAUCCUUCAUGCUAGCUUCAUCUUUUAUUUUUCUCUCACUUGCAAGGCUUUCUGCGAGCGCCAGAUAUGUGAGCCACUGAAGCUUCGAACAAUUCUCAAGCCGUGUCGGGUUGUGUAAAAUUAAAGAACGCGACCUUCCGUUUCCAGUGGGUUUAUCUGAAUGUAAACUUACAUUUCCAAUGAAACAGAUCCUUGGAUUGAUCAAACCGGUCAGUACAAGUACAUUAUGACGAGGAAGAUCGGUGCGAGAUUAUGG